rnacentral:ncRNA from 1 species
AUAAUGAUACUUCCGUAAUUCGCGGCCCGGUCACAAAGCAGACGGGGUGGCUGAAUGCCAAUGA